rnacentral:sRNA from 1 species
GCUGGGUACAGUGGUGUACACCUGUAAUCCCAGUGGCUCUGGAAGCUGAGGCAGGAGGAUCUCAAGUUCAAAGCUAGUCUCAGCAAAAGUAAGGUCCUAAGCAAGUCGGUGAGAACCUGUCUCUA